UCCUUCGUAGUGUAACGGUUAGCACACUUGGCUCGUAUUCGAGAGAUCCAGGUUCGUGUCCUGGCGAGGGCA
rnacentral:tRNA from 1 species